rnacentral:misc_RNA from 1 species
CGAGAACCUCUGCCGAUCCCGCGCCCUUGAAACCUACCGCCUCGACCCCGCCAAGUGGGGCGUCAAUGUCCAGCCCUACAGCGGCAGCCCAGCGAACUUCGCCGCCUACACGGCGCUUCUCAACCCCCAUGAUCGGAUCAUGGGGCUGGAUCUGCCGUCAGGCGGGCAUCUCACCCAUGGAUACUACACAUCCGGGGGGAAGAAGAUCUCGGCGACCUCGAUCUACUUCGAGAGCUUGCCGUAUAAGGUGAGCUUCGAGACGGGAUACAUCGACUACGACAAGCUGGAGGAGAAGGCGUUGGACUUCCGCCCCAAGCUGAUUAUCUGCGGCGGGAGUGCGUAUCCGAGGGAUUGGGAUUAUGCGAGGUUCAGAUCAGUCGCCGACAAGGUCGGAGCGCUGCUGCUCUGUGAUAUGGCGCACAUCAGUGGCCUUGUUGCAGCUCAGGAAGCAAAGGACCCUUUCGAGUACUGUGAUAUUGUCACCACCACGACCCACAAGAGUCUCCGAGGGCCGAGAUCCGGCAUGAUCUUCUACAGGAAGGGCCCGAAGCCGGCCAAGAAAGGCCAGCCUGAAGGCGCUUUGUAUGACUACGAAGACAAGAUAAACUUCGCCGUGUUCCCAUCCCUUCAGGGUGGCCCUCACAACCACCAGAUCGCUGCACUUGCUGUUGCCCUGAAGCAGGCAAUGUCACCUGGAUUCAAAGCCUAUGCCAAGCAAGUGAAGGCCAAUGCUGUUGCCGUCGGAGAAUAUUUGAAGAGCAAGGGGUACAAGAUCGUUACUGAUGGCACCGAGAACCACCUUGUCUUGUGGGAUCUCAGACCCCUUGGCCUAACUGGCAACAAGGUCGAGAAGCUCUGUGAUCUGGCCAACAUCACAGUGAACAAGAAUGCUGUGUUUGGUGAUAGUAGUGCAUUGGCUCCCGGUGGUGUUCGUAUCGGGACUCCUGCCAUGACUUCGAGGGGUUUGGUUGAGAAGGACUUUGAGCAG